CUUAUUAACUGCGAUGGGGCUCGCAUAAAGCUAAAAGCUAAUGGCUCCUACCAUAAG
rnacentral:ncRNA from 2 species